rnacentral:rRNA from 1 species
GUGAGGAAUAUUGGUCAAUGGGCGAGAGCCUGAACCAGCCAAGUCGCGUGAAGGAAGAAGGUUCUAUGGAUUGUAAACUUCUUUUGUAAGGGAAUAAAAAAGAGUACGUGUACUCUAUUGUAUGUACUUUACGAAUAAGGAUCGGCUAACUCCGUGCCAGCAGCCGCGGUAAUACGGAGGAUCCGAGCGUUAUCCGGAUUUAUUGGGUUUAAAGGGUGCGUAGGCGGACUUAUAAGUCAGCGGUGAAAGUUUGCAGCUUAACUGUAAAAUUGCCGUUGAAACUGUUAGUCUUGAGUGUAAAUGAGGUAGGCGGAAUGUGUUGUGUAGCGGUGAAAUGCUUAGAUAUAACACAGAACACCAAUUGCGAAGGCAGCUUACUGGGAUACAACUGACGCUGAGGCACGAAAGCGUGGGGAUCAAACAGGAUUAGAAACCCGGGUAGUCC